GCAAAAAUAGCUUAGAUAUUAAUAUAGCCUUGCUAAGGUUAAGGUUGAGGGUUCAAUUCUCUCUUGCUGCU
rnacentral:tRNA from 1 species